UCCACCGCUCAUGGUUGAACUCAGCUACCUGCUCGCAUCGGCACAACUAUACAGUAUCUGUGGACAGUUAAGUAGGUUGUCUAUUGAAUGAAGGAAAUAUGUAAAUUUGACUAAUUGGGUAAAGUCUUGCCGGUCAAACAACUUAGGAUAGCUAAGUGAACAUUAGCUACCCAUCUCUGUGUAGCUACGUCCUCAGUGUUAAGUUAAUAUGGAGCCAGAGGUUUUGACUGCUCAACGGGACGAAAUGAAGAAUGUACUGGAGGUGGUUAACGGCAGCCUUUCGGAGUCGUAUAACGUUAACUUCCAUCAUAAUGAUGUUGUGAACAGUGUUACUGAAUCACUCGACUUAAUUACACAGAGGGAGAAGAUUCAACGACAAAUUUCAGCGCUUGAAAGUUAUUUUGAUGCAGAAGUGCAUUCAGACAUGUCAGCCUGCAGUCCCACAGGUGAGUUUCAGAAGUGCAUUCAGACAUGUCAGCCUGCAGUUCCACAGGUGAGUUUCAGAAGAUGCCCAUGCUGGAAUACUGUUGACCAGAAGGAUUCUUGCAUCCAUUGAAUUUCAACAGUAAACCCAAUUUUGUGUUUUCUGUUAUCUGGCAGAUGCUGAAUCAG
ensembl:lncRNA